UUUGUGCUUUGUGGAAGCAACUAUGAAAAUUGUUAUAACACUCUUGGAAGCUAUUAUUGCACCUGUAUAAUUGGAUGGUAUGAUUGGACUCCAAGUGGAGGUUGCCGUAGAGAUUGCUUGGGUCGGGAAAACUUGGAUACUGAUUGCUGCACCACUGCUAACCCUUGUGACUAUGGGAAGGGAGACUGUGACAGUGACGCGCACUGCAAGGGUAGCCUGAGAUGUGGGGAUAAUUGGAACAAUUGUCGUGAUUUCUUUUCUGGAGCUGGGCCUCUGCGUGACUGCUGUUUAUAAUUCUGGUCCUGUAGCAGCAUUAUAGUAUUUGAAUUUGGACUUAGAAUUCAUAGCAUACCAUUUGUAUUUAAAAAAAAAUUAUUUCAUGCAUUGGAUCGGGUACAGGUGGGUCUAAAGGGUGGGCUGUUUUUCAAAAAAACGUCUUAAGUAGCUUUUUUUUCGUGUGAUUUAAUUGCUAAAUCUUACAUCUAUGAAAAGCCCUUGGGGAAAUAACUUAAAAAGCAUGUGUCAUGUCUUUUAAUUUGUUGAAAACUAAAUUUUCAUUUUUGAAAUUUUUUUGAAAUUUUUCGUUCUUUUUUUAAACUCUUUUUAGCGGCCUUAACUAUUUCUGUCAAUUCUUGUUUUGGAAGAGACGCCCCAUUAUACAGCAAUUUCAAUAAAAACCCAUCAAUUUUUAAGUUGUUAAUAAACGAAAAGAGCAAUUUAAUGGGACUGUAAACCUAAUUUCAAGUGACCCUCCAUGCAAAAAUGGUAAU